rnacentral:tRNA from 1 species
GAGGGCAUAGCUUAGUGGUAGAGUGCAUGCUUAGCAUGCAAGAGGUCCUGGGUUCAACCCCCAAUACCUCCA